UUCUCCCCUCGCUCCGUCUUUCCCAUUUCUCCCAGGUGCCCCAGGUGGUCCAGGAAAUAUGUCAUCAGAUGGGGUUCCUGGGGGUCCAGGUGGCCCUGGUAGUCCUGGAGGGCCCUGAUGAAAUAAGGCAACAUAAAACCAGAGGAAGUCCAGGUGUGCCUGCAGAUCCCUGUGGCCCUUGUGGACCCCGAGGUCCCGGCCCCCCUCCCCGACCAUCCCCUGAGGCUUGUCCUGGAAGGCCAGGUGGUCCUGGGGGACCGGCUGGACCUGGUUCACCUCGCUCCCCUUUCUGCUGUGGAGACACCUGCAGGGACUGAAGUGGGCGGAGCUCGAACAGGGCUGCUGUAGGUGGGGUCCAACUCCAGGAGGGGCUGAAACAAGGACACAAUCACAGUCACCUCAUGAGACCAUAUGGCAGCAUGAUUAUGAUGAUGAUGAUGAUGAUAUCUCUGCAAUGAUCCAUACGCUGACAUUUAAUUAUUGUCUUUAUUUAAUGUAAAUAAAAGUAAUU